AUCUCCAGAAUCUGUCAAUGGCCCUGACAUCCAAAAUGAAUUAGAGUCACCAAUCAUUUAAUAGUUGACCAUAGUAACAUUCAGGGAAGUUAAUCUUCCUAGCAACAAGAUGAUACACAGAGAGCUCUCUAAAUUAAGAAUAAACAACUGUAAGCUGAUUGCUGUGCUAGUGUGCUGAAAUGAAAACAUAUUCAGAUGCAGUUCCCAGAUGCUAAAAAGGAAAAUGUGGGACACAGAUGAUUGAGGGCUCCAAACUCCAAUCUGAUUAAUAAUCUAAGAAGUCAAAUUCCAAGGCCCAGAUAACCAACACUCAAUUGGACUUUCGAUCAUUUUAUUUGUUUUAAUAUUUUGGCAAACAGCAGGCAAGGGCUUUAGAGACCUGACAGUGUCACCAACUUGAAUAGUCUAAAAAAACACAGCGAACAGAGAGCAACCGACAUUCUAAUAAUCUAAUUUAUAGUGCAACUACUCUUACAAGAAGUAACAUGUCAUUUAUUUGAUCUAAUACAAGAAGAAAAUAUGGCCGAAAGUUCAGAAAUAUAGACAAACGGAGACUUAUUACAAAGUCCACUACGCUUUUUUUUUCUUCAGAUAAACAUAACCACAUAAUAAAUGAGAGCCCCAUUGUAAUCUAAGUUAAAAGAAAUACCAGCAUAAUGAAUCAACAAUGUG
rnacentral:misc_RNA from 1 species